GGCCAAUCAGGGAAGACCUUUCCCUGUCACAGAAUGGGGUCGAGAAGCCCAGGAAACAGGUAGUCACAAAUUAUCGCAUGCUUCGGCUGGUCCCUUUCUUAUUGAGCCUCAGUUUUCUCUUCCAUAAGCCGGGCCAGCAGUGCCCACCCCACAGGAUGGCGCCAGCUCCGUAAGGGCCCUACCACCGCGGCCGGCCAGAUCCUCGGCGGGCCAGUCCCGGCGCUGCGGUUGUUUAGCCUGAUGACCCCUGGCCAGGUUCAGGCUCAAUUGCUCCAAAGAACUCCGGACCCGUACCCCGAGCCCGGCGUCCCAGCGGCGAAGUUCAUGGGCCCCGCAGGAGCCCUUGCGGUGAGAACCGAGUCCUGGAGCCCCCGGAGCCCCCGGAGCUGUAGCCGGGGCAGCGUCCCUUCCGCCGGGCUUCCGGCGCUCUAGAGAGCCCAGAAACUCACCGCGCGCAGGAGUUGGUGCAGGCGUCCCGGGUAGGCUAGACUUCUGUGAGCCGCAGCCCCGAAACUGAGGUCAAGAAGACUUACUGUGGACCCUUGGAGAAUUCCCAGGGCUUUGAAAAGGCCCAAGCACCCAGCAGGGCUGGCAGUUCUGAGCGCUGGCAAAGCUAAGUGGGUCAGAGGAGACCCUCGCCAAGCCGGUGACUCACUCAUUCGCUCACCCUCACUCACUCUUGAUGGGCCAAGUACCUGCCACGUGCUACGGACACAGUAGAGCCACAGGAGACGCUGCCCUCCGGGAAUUUGCAGCCGCUUGCAGAGGCGGCCCCUUAGCAGCUGCGCAUCCGCGUGGAUAGCGGCGCUUCUGCCCACCCAGUGCCUACCCGCCUCUCUGAGAGAAAAACAGCCCCUGGUUUUCUCUCUGCAAUUCCCCUUCUCCACACUCCCUUCCACUCAGUCCUGGUGCCGCAGACCCCUCCCCCUGGUUCUCAGGGAUCCUGGCCAGCCCGGUCUCAGGCAAGGCCAUGUAUAAUGCCGGGAGUGAUAAUUGCUUAUUGUUUCUUGACUGCAAGACUGUGUCCAGGUAGCUCCUUCUGGAAUGCCCUUCCCACCACACCUGCGGCCGCACUGCUCCGUGCCCUGCUAAGCCUCACUUCUUUUGAGGCGCCCCUCUCGCUGAGCCCUGACCACCUGGCCCUCUCUCUACUCAGUGCCUGAACGCAUCAGGCUUGCUGCAGCCCCUGCCUUUACCUCUCUACUUGUGUUCUUUCAGAGCCUGCUCCCAUAUGGUAUCACAUAUCAGAUAUCUGAUGCAGAGCCUUAGAGAGGCUGUUCCAGGUCACACAAACUAAGGAAGUCCCUCAGCCACUCCCUGCCACAUCACCCUGUUCUAUUUCCUUCACAGCACUUAAUUGUAUAUCUGAUAUUUCCUUGUUUCUUUGUUUGUUCAUUGUCUGUCUCUCCCACUAGACUGUAAGCUCUUUGAGGGCAGGAAAUUUGUGAGAUGUAUACACUGUUGUAUCCCCAAUACACAGUGAUGGCUUGUAUCAGUUGCUAAAUAAAUGUUUGUUGAAUGGC